UACAGAGGUCUCAAGCGUUGUUCGGAUUCAUUGGGCGUAAAGGGUGCGUAGGCGGCGGGUAAGUCUGGUGUGAAAUCUCGGAGCUCAACUCCGAAAUUGCACUUGGAUACUGCUCUGCUAGAGGGCUGGAGAGGAGAUCGGAAUUCACGGUGUAAGCAGUGAAAUGCGUAGAUAUCGUGAGGAAGACCAGUGGCGAAGGCGGAUCUCUGGACAGCUCCUGACGCUGAAGGCGCGAAGGCUAGGGGAGCAAACGGG
rnacentral:rRNA from 1 species